ACCUAGCUGGCUCAGUAGGAAGAGCAUGGAACUCUAAAUCUCGGGUCGUGAGUUCAAGCCCCAUGUUGGGUA
rnacentral:tRNA from 1 species